UUGGAAGAUACUAUAAUUGCUAGUUUAAUAAAUCGGGAGAAUACAAGCUGAAUUUUUUCGCUCAAUAUCUUAACAAGCAGAAUACGAGUUGGGAUCAGCUUGUUCGUAUUCAAAUUGAUAUGGCUCUAAUUAUAUAUAUAGAUAGAGAGAGAGAGAGAGAGAGAGAGAGAGAGAGAGUUGAGCUAGAAUACUAUCGAUAGCAAACGGGCUCCGUUGCCACCCAUUUGUUUUCGAUGAUGGAGCCUCCAAAUUGACGAUCGACACCGUUGAACAUGAUCUAUACCACUUGAAGUGUUUAGAAAUUAAAUUUCAAAUCUUUUCGACAUUAUUUGCCUAAUGAUCAAAGAGUUUCAAAAUUUGUAAUUUUAAUGGUGGAUAUGAGGCGUUUUCUCAUUUAACGGCGUAAAGAUAUUCAAAUCAAUUGAAUAUUUAUUAGAAAAUUCCUUAAACUAUUUAAAACAAGAUCUAUACUCUUGAUCUUGAUUACAAAACUUCUAUCAUCAUUUUUUAAAGAAUAUUCAUUUUCAGCUGUUCAUUUUUGUGUCCACUCGAUGGAUAAGAGAACAAUAUCGAAAAUAUUUGAAAUUUGCUUUCUAAACACUUCAAGUGAUAUAGAUCAUGUUCAACGGUGCCGAUCGUUGAUUUGGAAGCUUCAUCAUCGAAAAUAAAUAAGUGGUAACGUAGCCUGUUUGCUAUCGAUAAUAUUCUAGCUCAACUCUCUCUCUCUCUCUCUCUCUCUCUCUCUCUCUAUAUAUAUAUAUAUAUAUAUAAAUAUAAAGUCUUGUGUGCUAUGAGAAGUAUGGAGGUCUCCGUGCUCUUAAGCCAUUUUUGAUGAUGAAGUUUCCAAAUCGACGAUGUACUCUGUUAGACUUGAUAUAGUAUAUUUGUAGUAUGUAAAAAAUAAAUUUUGUUAUCUUUUAAUAUCAUUUGCCUAGUAAUCGAAAAUGUUUAAAAUCAAUGGUUGGAAAUAAAAAUCUCACAAAAAGUGAUAAUAUAGCACUAAAAUUUUCGAUCAGAGAUAUUGAUCUUGCAGUAAAUAAUAUAAAAAAUUUUCUAUUAAAAUUUUAUCUGAUUUGAAUACUUCUACACCGUUAAACUUGCAAACGAUAUACAUCAACCAUUAAAAAUUAUUGCUUUUGAACUCUUUCAGUCGUUAGGUAAAUGAUAUCAAUAAAUCACAAAAUUUAUUUUCUAAAUAUUUCAAAUAUGCUAGAUCAAAUCUAACGGAGCCGAUCGCCGAUUCAAAAACUCCAUCAACAAAAAUGGCUUAGCAGCAUGAAGGCUUCCGUGCUCCUAAUAGCACACAAGACCCACUCUUAUAUAUACAUAUAAA
rnacentral:lncRNA from 1 species